CUGUCUGUAACCUGACCCGUUGCGCGCCCAGCCCACAGGGCGGGAGAAUCAACACAGCGGUUUUCCCCGUCCUCUUCCGCCCUGGAAUGGCCUUUGGGGACACAGCAGCCUGGUAACGGAUUUCUUGGCUCGGCUGGAAUACUCUCCCCGCUCUCGGAGACGGGGCGCAGCUCGGCCCAGACUGCUCAGGGUGCAGACGCGCCCCGCCUCCGGAGCUGCCCUCAAGGGGUCACCCUCUCUGGGCUCUUCCCUGUCUGGACUCCAGAUUUUCUCUGAGAACGACAAACAAAGAAGGAAAAAGACUUUGUGCCGGGUGAGCCAGGGGAGGAGGAGGAAGACAUUUCCAUAGCGGCACAAGGAGACCAGGCUUCUUUCUCGUCCACGAGGCUGAUGGCGCAGCUUCUGGGAGAAACUGCGAAUGUAUUUUUAUCCGCCAACAAACUGGAGCCUUGCUAGAAAGAGAGAGCUUGGCUGAAUGAAAGUAAAAAUAGAGUAACGCUGUGAAAUCACGGAAAUCACCGAAUGCCUGAGACACUUUGUCCAUUAUUUGGAAAUAUUAUAGAAUGAUAGGAUCUAAGAAUAGAAACCUCAAAAUGCAACACAACCUUCAGAGGAUUGGAGGUGAAAAUAACAGGAGUCUCACCUCCUCACAAGGGAGCCAGAAGAUUGCUUUCUCAGACUCUCUCGCUGCUGGGUGCAAGCCUGUGACCCGGGAUCCAUGACCGGGGGUUCACACACACACUGGGUUUAGCACAAGGAGCGGGGGUCAGAGUCCUGGAGGCCCGUCCUGUGCUCAGCGAGGAUGGGACCCCGGGCAAGCGGACCACGGCGACAGAGCCCCUACUGGAGACGCCCGGAACUGCAGUCUGAGCAUCGUUGCUGGCGGCUCGCUUCGGAGACUGAUUCUAUGGUCUCCUGGAGAUUCCACGAGCUACUUAACAACCUUCCAUAAAUUCCUUUUCGCAUUGAACAAGCUAGAGUGGAGUCUGUUGCCACAUCUUGGGUCAUCUAUUCUGCAACUGGCGUUGUCUCCAGGACCUCAUUAUGUUGUCUUCCAAUCAAUGACAAGAUUAUGAAGUCUCAUUCCCACGCUACUAUAACUCAAAAUAAAAACAACACGAACCACAAAAUAUGUAUCAUUAUUUUAAAUCUUUGCUUUCUAGAAUAAUUUGCAAGGUGCUGGUUAAACUCCUGGACGUGAAACUUCUCUCUCUCUUCUCUCAGCCCCUCUCACGCUCUUGCUUUUCUGGUGCUCUAAACUGACACCUAAUCUGCCUCUAGUCCUGCACUGUCCAAAACGAGAACCACCAGCUUGUCCUAUGCGGCUGCUGAGCACCUGAAAGGUGGUUGGUCUGAACUGAGAUGUGCUGUAAGUGUGAAAUACACAUUGGACGUUGAAGACACUACUGGAAAAAAAAAAAGACUGCAAAAUAUUUCAUUAAUAGUUUUGUAUAUUAAUUU